CCAAACCUAAGUCAUCUGAUUUCAGAGCCCAUACAGUUAAAUGCUCUAAAUGCAGCUUCCCGUGAUGAUGGUGACUAUGAGAGCCUGUCACAUAUGAUGUAGGACAGUGCUUCCCUGUAACAUGCACAAGAUUCCUGUGAUGAUGGUGACUAUGAGAGCCUGUCACAUAUGAUGUAGGACAGUGCUUCCCUGUAACAUGCACAAGAUUCCCGUGAUGACGGUGACUAUGAGAGCCUGUCAGAUACGAUGUAGGACAGUGCUUCCCUGUAACAUGCACAAUAUUCCCGUGAUGAUAGUGACUAUGAGACCCUGUCACCUACGAUGUAGAACAGUGCUUCCCUGUAACAUGCACAAGAUCACAUGAUGAUGGUGAUUAUGAGAGCCUGUCACAUACGAUGUAGGACAGUGCUUCCCUGUAACAUGUGCAAGAUUCCCGUGAUGAUGGUGACUAUGAGAGCCUGUCACAUAUGAUGUAGGACAGUGCUUCCCUGUAACAUGUGCAAGAUUCCCAUGAUGAUGGUGACUAUGAGAGCCUGUCACAUAGGAUGUAGGACAGUGCUUCCCUGUAACAUGCACAAGAUUCACCCAGGGAUCUCUUUAAAAUGCAAAACCAUAGACCACACUUUGACUGGCUUGGAUAAGGGGUCAGAGCAUCGAAAUGAGUGUGUAGGUGACUGUGCUAAAAUUCUCCUGCUCAUGUGGGCACUGGCUCAUGAUAUUAACAAAGCUUAGGACCUCUAGUCCUUUCUGGAAAGAAAAUACACAUACAUAGCAUGUGACUGUGCAUAUGGAAUAUCUGUUGUGUUCUGGACAUUGUGCUGGACAACAGAGAUAAGAAGUCAAAUAUCCCUUGUCUCUAUCUGAAAGGAGCUUCC
rnacentral:lncRNA from 10 species